GUGGGGGAUAUUGCACAAUGGGGGAAACCCUGAUGCAGCAAUGCCGCGUGAGGGAAGAAGGUCUUCGGAUUGUAAACCUAAGUAGCCAGGGACGAUAAUGACGGUACCUGGAGAGUAAGCUCCGGCUAACUACGUGCCAGCAGCCGCGGUAAUACGUAGGGAGCGAGCGUUGUCCGGAAUUACUGGGUGUAAAGGGUGCGUAGGCGGGAUGGCAAGUCAGAUGUGAAAUACCGGGGCUUAACCCCGGGGCUGCAUUUGAAACUGUCGUUCUUGAGUGAAGUAGAGGCAGGCGGAAUUCCUAGUGUAGCGGUGAAAUGCGUAGAUAUUAGGAGGAACACCAGUGGCGAAGGCGGCCUGCUGGGCUUUAACUGACGCUGAGGCACGAAAGCAUGGGGAGCAAACAGG
rnacentral:rRNA from 1 species